rnacentral:rRNA from 1 species
AUUGAACGCUGGCGGCAGGCCUAACACAUGCAAGUCGAGCGAGCGGCGGACGGGUGAGUAAUGUCUGGGAAACUGCCUGAUGGAGGGGGAUAAAUACUGGAAACGGUAGCUAAUACAGCAUACCAUCAGAUGCGCCCAGAGGGGAUUAGCUAGUAGGGGGGGUAAAGGCUCACCUAGGCGCCGAUCCCUAGCUGGUCUGAGAGGAUGACCAGCAACACUGGAACUGAGACACGGUCCAUACUCCUACGGGAUGCAGCAGUGGGGAAUAUUGCACAAUGGGCGCAAGCCUGAUGCAGCCAUUCCGCGUGUGUGAAGAAGGCCUUCGGGUUGUAAAGCACUUUCAGCGGGGAGGCGUUACCCGCAGAAGAAGCACCGGCUAACUCCGUGCCAGCAGCCGCGGUAAUUC